rnacentral:piRNA from 1 species
UCCUCACUGAAGCUGGAUCAAGGUUUGGA